rnacentral:rRNA from 1 species
CAGUCGUACCGGCGGAUAAUCAGCCUUUCGGGUGCGAUUCUGUGGGGCGUGAGGAGUUUAACCGCCUUCAUGUUUUGCAUAUUCGUGCACAUUUGGUGUACUUGUCCGUGUGGUGGGUUAACAUCAAUUUCGGUCGUCAUAAAAUGACUGGAGGAAUGUAGCUUCGAUCUCGUAUUGGAGUGUUAUAGCUUCGGUAGAUGUGAUGAUCAAG